rnacentral:rRNA from 1 species
UCGAGAAUUUUUCACAAUGGGGGAAACCCUGAUGGAGCGACGCCGCGUGGGGGAUGAAUGGCUUCGGCCCGUAAACCCCUGUCAUUUGCGAAUAAACCUUGUUGUUUAAGAGAUGACGAGUUGACAGUAGCGAAAGAGGAAGGGACGGCUAACUCUGUGCCAGCAGCCGCGGUAAUACAGAGGUCCCAAGCGUUGUUCGGAUUCACUGGGCGUAAAGGGUGCGUAGGUGGUCGGGUAAGUCUGAUGUGAAAUCUCGAAGCUCAACUUCGAAACUGCAUUGGAUACUAUCCGGCUGGAGGGUCGGAGGGGGGACUGGAAUUCUCGGUGUAGCAGUGAAAUGCGUAGAUAUCGAGAGGAACACCAGUGGCGAAGGCGAGUCCCUGGACGACUCCUGACACUGAGGCACGAAAGCUAGGGGAGCAAACAGGAUUAGAUACCCCUGUAGUCC